GACGAACCGUGCGAACGUUGUUCGGAAUUACUGGGCGUAAAGCGCACGUAGGCGGCUCGAGCAAGUCAGGGGUGGAAAUCCCGGGGCUCAACCCCGGAACUGCCCUUGAAACUGCCAAGCUAGAAUCUUGGAGAGGCGAGUGGAAUUCCGAGUGUAGAGGUGAAAUUCGUAGAUAUUCGGAAGAACACCAGUGGCGAAGGCGACUCGCUGGACAAGUAUUGACGCUGAGGUGCGAAAGCGUGGGGAGCAAACAGG
rnacentral:rRNA from 1 species